rnacentral:rRNA from 1 species
AUGUUGUCGAGGACGACCGGAGAUGUUGUUAAAUCAAUGGCGACGAUGGUAUUCAACACAGACCUGUGCCCCAUGCUGCCACUUGUGACAUCUGCAUGCACCAUCAUUAGCACAAGUGCCAAUACUGUUGCAUCAACAUUUGCUCAAAACUAUAUGAUGCAGCAGAUGAAGAAUGCUAGAAUCACACUAGUAGAGGUCAAGACCAAGGGCCACCUACCACAUCUUACCGCCGGAAAGAUGGUUGCGAAGCACAUCUCAGAUGUCAUUCAUGAGUGGAUAGCAAGAACUGAGCCAUUAACUUCCAUACCUCCUAGCCUAUUGCCUUCGUAUGAUAGGCUGCGUGAAGAGAUUAGGGUACUUAAAGAAGAAAACAUGUUGCUGAAGAGAGAGAACGAAGCUCUGAAGAAGCCAGCGAUUGAUGAGACCACCAAACUGGCAACGGUGUCCCGGCCAGGUGGUGGAAGCCAUGAAUCAUCACCAGGCAGCGGAGGUUCUUGA